rnacentral:misc_RNA from 1 species
UAAUGAUAAUGUCGUAAUGGGUCUGUGUCUCACAAUGGAUAUUCCACGUUCAAGUAUUGCAGUGACCUUGCUGGCAGCUGUGACAGUGACCUUAGUUUUCAAAUUUUGGUCAUCUUGGCGGAGAUCGAAAGCACCCAGAAUAAUGAGGCCGCGUGUGAAGAAUUUGGAAGAACUGGCAGACAGAACCUGGCAGCAUGUUGGAAAAGUCUCCAAGUUGUAUCUGUAUCCUAUUAAAUCUUGUGCCGGAAUAAGCCUGGCCUCUGCUCAGGCUACUCGACUUGGCCUCAGAAGUGGCACUGUCAGAGAUCGGUCAUUGAUUAUAAUGAAUGAAAAGGGUGUGAUGGUGACAGGAAGGAUGAUUCCAGCUACAGUGAAGAUAAAAGCUCGCAUUGAAGAUGGUGUUCUCACUCUCGAGUUUCCAGGUGCUCCAUCGUUCUCUGUUUUACUGUCGCAAGUUGAGGAAAAGGAUGUACAGAAAACUACAAGGGUGUGGGAUGACACAGUACCUGGCCUUGACUGUGGAGAUGAAGCAGCAUCUUGGCUGAAGGAAGUUUUGGGCAAAAAGUGUCGCCUUCUUUAUCACAGCAGCAUACCUUCCCCAAGGAGUACAGACCUGGGGGAUGAAUAUCCUCUCCUUCGGGGGGAUGAUAAUGCCUUGUAUGCUGAUCUGACUGGAUACAUGCUAAUGACAAGAGAAUCCAUCGGAGAUCUAGAGACUAGAGUGAAGAGUCAUUUGCCGCCCCAGAAUUUCCGUCCAAACAUCCUUGUGGAGGGGACUAAUGCUCCUUAUGAUGAGGACUUGUGGGAAUACAUCAGGAUUGGUGAUACUCUCUUCAGAAAUGUUAAGCCUUGCUCCAGAUGACCCUGAUAUAGCAGUCACAAUGGUGCAUUUUCACAACAAUAAACCAUGAGUCUGGAAAGAAGGAUUCCAAUAUGGAACCUUUGCGCACUCUAAGGAGUUUCAGAUGUGUAGAAGGAGACAACAGUCCUCACUUUGGAAUCAACUUAGGAGUUGACAUAAC